rnacentral:rRNA from 1 species
UUACCGCAAACCGACACAGGUAGUUGAGGAGAGAAUCCUAAGGUGUGCGAGAGAACUCUCGUUAAGGAACUCGGCAAAAUGACCCCGUAACUUCGGGAGAAGGGGUGCUGACCGCAAGGUCAGCCGCAGUGAAUAGGCCCAAGCGACUGUUUAUCAAAAACACAGGUCUCUGCAAAAUCGAAAGAUGACGUAUAGGGGCUGACGCCUGCCCGGUGCUGGAAGGUUAAGAGGAGAGGUUAGCGCAAGCGAAGCUUUGAAUUGAAGCCCCAGUAAACGGCGGCCGUAACAAUAACGGUCCUAAGGUAGCGAAAUUCCUUGUCGGGUAAGUUCCGACCCGCACGAAAGGCGUAACGAUUUGGGCACUGUCUCAACGAGAGACUCGGUGAAAUUAUAGUACCAGUGAAGAUGCUGGUUACCCGCGACAGGACGGAAAGACCCCAUGGAGCUUUACUGCAGUUUGAUAUUGCGUGUUUGUAUCACAUGUACAGGAUAGGUAGGAGCCGAAGAUACCGGGACGCCAGUCUCGGAGGAGGCAACGGUGGGAUACUACCCUUGUGAUAUGACCACUCUAACCCGCUGCUCUUAGCGAGCAGGGAGACAGUGUCAGACGGGCAGUUUGACUGGGGCGGUCGCCUCCAAAAAUGUAACGGAGGCGCCCAAAGGUUCCCUCAGAAUGGUUGGAAAUCAUUCGUAGAGUGUAAAGGCAGAAGGGAGCUUGACUGCGAGACCUACAAGUCGAGCAGGGACGAAAGUCGGGCUUAGUGAUCCGGUGGUUCCGCAUGGAAGGGCCAUCGCUCAACGGAUAAAAGCUACCCUGGGGAUAACAGGCUUAUCUCCCCCAAGAGUUCACAUCGACGGGGUGGUUUGGCACCUCGAUGUCGGCUCAUCGCAUCCUGGGGCUGUAGUCGGUCCCAAGGGUUGGGCUGUUCGCCCAUUAAAGCGGUACGCGAGCUGGGUUCAGAACGUCGUGAGACAGUUCGGUCCCUAUCCGUCGCGGGCGUUGGAAAUUUGAGAGGAGCUGUCCUUAGUACGAGAGGACCAGGAUGGACACACCGCUGGUGUACCAGUUGUUCUGCCAAGAGCAUCGCUGGGUAGCUAUGUGUGGACGGGAUAAACGCUGAAAGCAUCUAAGCGUGAAGCCCCCCUCAAGAUGAGAUUUCCCAUCACUUUAAGUGAGUAAGACCCCUGAGAGAUGAUCAGGUAGAUAGGUUGGGAGUGGAAGUACAGCGAUGUAUGGAGCGGACCAAUACUAAUCGGUCGAGGACUUAACC